rnacentral:rRNA from 1 species
AUUGAACGCUGGCGGCAGGCCUAACACAUGCAAGUCGAGCGGAUGAAGGGAGCUUGCUCCUGGAUUCAGCGGCGGACGGGUGAGUAAUGCCUAGGAAUCUGCCUGGUAGUGGGGGAUAACGUCCGGAAACGGGCGCUAAUACCGCAUACGUCCUGAGGGAGAAAGUGGGGGAUCUUCGGACCUCACGCUAUCAGAUGAGCCUAGGUCGGAUUAGCUAGUUGGUGGGGUAAAGGCCUACCAAGGCGACGAUCCGUAACUGGUCUGAGAGGAUGAUCAGUCACACUGGAACUGAAGCACGGUCCAGACUCCUACGGGAGGCAGCAGUGGGGAAUAUUGGACAAUGGGCGAAAGCCUGAUCCAGCCAUGCCGCGUGUGUGAAGAAGGUCUUCGGAUUGUAAAGCACUUUAAGGUGGGAGGAAGGGCAGUAAGUUAAUACCUUGCUGUUUUGACGUUACCAACAGAAUAAGCACCGGCUAACUUCGUG